ACUACGAUGGUGUAGUGGUAACAUCUCAGCUUCCCAUGCAAACUCUCCUUGGAGCAGCAAAGCAUGCUGAGGCCACGGGUUCGAUUCCCGUUCGUAGUA